UCAAUUCAUUGACAAGUUUCUCCACCUCUUCUCUCUUUACAUUCGUAUCGAUUUCCAUCCCAAUCUCCCAUUCAUUGUAAAUAAGUCUACAGUUUGUUGGCUGAUCACCAAAGAAUGGCCAACACAACAUUGGAACUCCAGCACAUAUGCUUUCAGUGGUUGAGUUCCAUCCGCAAUGAGUCAAGAAUCCGCCAAUUGAAGGGUGGUUCAAUACUUUCUCCUGUGGACACCAACUUGCAAUUAAGCCUCUAUCUGAAAUUUCAUUCACAAACUCAGAUGACAAAACGACUGAGCCACCAAUGACAAGGUCAGGCCUAAUGAUCCACAAAAAGGGUUUAUUGCAAUUGGCCAACCCCCAAGCAAAUUCCAACAGUUGUUUUGGUGUCAUAACUGUAAUGCUUCCAAAAUUCACAUAAACAACGGAUCCCGGCUCCUUGGAUUCAAGCCAUUCAAGACACUUAGUAUCUUCUUUCCAAAGGUUGGAACCUAAAGAAUCCAAUUGAUGAAUUUGUGGAGUUUGGUUUAAUAAUGAAGGUAAAGGGCCAAUGGGGUAAAGAGAAGGAAACAUAGAGGAGAGAGCAUUUAUUACAUCACUCUAAAGUUCAUGGAAAGUAUUCAAAACAAUUGUAGAGUCUCCAAGAACUUUAUCAGCCGCAUCAAUUACAAAGUCUAACAUAAUAUCAUUUGGAUCUGUUGUCCUGAUACUGUCAAAGAUAUCCUUUAACCGAAAGUUUUUCAAACCUGGAAUCCAAUCUACAUUAGUUUCCAAAUAUCCAUUUGUUAGAUAGCUCUGAUCUGCAUAUCAAAUGUAUCAGUUAAUAUCUUGAAGGUUAUACAUACAUCCGUACAUACAUGAGUAUUUUGUUUUCGACAAAAACAUACAUAUAUAAUAAGGUAUUAUAAAUUGAAUAAAAGUCAUUUAUUGAUGUAUAAAUUUUAAUUUUGAAGUUUUAUGAAAUUUGUGGAGUUCCUCUAUUCAAUAAGAGUUUUUAAUUUGAUGGUUGCUUUAUUGAAAUUUAGUGUCUACAUUGAGUUUUAUAUUAACUGAAACUAUAUCAAGUGUUACUCUUGGAGUAAGUUGAUUAUCUCGCACACGACCAUUUAUAUAGAUUUAAUUCAUAUAUAGAGUCAAAGUAAAAGUUUUUUACACCGUCAAUAAAUCAUAAGUGUCAGAAUAGUGUAGCAAAAUUAAUAUUAAUCUCUCUAUAAAUAUAUACUUUAUGAAGAAAAAAACUUAACUUAGUACCUUUGAGUGGCGUGAGACCUUUUUCUACAAAGGAACGUAAGUGGUGAAUACUCAGUAACAAACUUGCACUGGAUGGAAAGAAGAUAACAAUUGGUAGUGCAAAUUCUUCAGCAGCUUGUAUAGUAAAGCUCAUAAAAUAAUCAGAAACUAAGCAAGUAACUGGUGGAACAUUGGCAGAGUCAUUAAGUCUUGUAAGAAGUUCACAAAAAGGUUUAAGGAAAUUUUUUCUUAUAGAUUGAGCAAGAGAAGGUACAUCUUGACUAACAUCACCAUCACCUUCUAUCGGUGUUAGACCAUCUGGUAUGGUUUCAAAGCAAAAACCACGGGAACCAUCUAAGGCAUUUGGACCUCUUGAUUUUAGCAAUCGUUUAUGAUUGUAUUCAGUGUUGACAAAGGUUAUAUGAAAUCCUCUAAGGUGAAGAAGUUUUGCAAGUUUGAACAAUGGAUUUAUAUGUCCUUGAAAUGGAGCUGGAAUCAACACAGCAUGUGGUUUUCUGUUUGCAAAACUUCCCAUCUUUGAAAUUUUUCUGUUUGUAUGUUAUUUGUGCAAGAUAUGAGGUUGAAAAACAAGUGAUAGGCAUGUGCUUUUAUAGAGAGAAAAAAGGACAAUGCUACAAAAUUGAAAAAUAUAAAGAAAUCCAAACAGAUAAAUUCUGGGAGGUUCUAACAAAAGGAAAUAAGUUCAUUGUAUGAAAAGACAGACACAUAAAAAGACACCAAAAAUGACACUGACACGUUAACGUCAAUGAUAAUUUGAGAAAUAAAUUAAUUCAAUGUAAUUACAAUGUGUCUGACAUAAAAUUGAAAUCUUAUACAGGUAUGUUCUUGUAAACUUUCCUAUAUGACUCAUUAUAUUGAUUGAAUAUGUUUGUUGGUAUUUGGUUUAACCAAUCAAUGUGGCAUUAACAAUUCAACUGUUACUUGUUACUUAGAUGUCGUUUGAGAUUUAUUUGGGAAUUGAUAAAAUAGAAAAGUUGAGAAAAACUUUAUAUUGUGAUCCUAAAAUCACUAAUAUAACCAAAUUGAAUCUAACCAUAUCUAACUAUCUUCCAAAAUAUUAAACUAAUUUUAACAAAUCUGAAACUACAUCUAACACAUACUUGCAUGGAAUUGCAACCAUUCAGUAGAAAGAUAUUAUCAAACAAAAUCUUCAUAUGCUUGUGGACCAACUCUAUACGUUUCAGUUUCAAAAUUGAACUAGAAGGCACUUCUAUUCAAGUAAGUAUAAGAUAGUUCUGACAUCAAAGAUUUUUGUUGUACAAAGAAAAUAAUUAUGUCCACUUAUUUAUUUUAUAAUAGUCUAUUGGCUAUUAUUUUCCAUGCUUGAAUCAGUCAGACAUUAGACAUCACAAAAAAAAUAUUAGUCCCUUUCAACAAGGGCUCAUGAUUAUCUCCAAAAGUUACAAUUGCAUAAAAGUCAAAUUCACUUUUAUUGUGCAGAAUAGUGACUAGUGGAUAUGUUGUCUUCAUUAUCAAUGGUACCUUCCAUAAGGGCUUUGUGUCCUCUAAUUUUUUUACUAGUCUUUAUUUAUGCAUGUAUUAUAAUCCUUUAUCAUGUCUAUGAGAUAUGGGCUCAAUGGUAAAAAUUUCAGCCAGUAAUCUCAAAGGACAAAGUUCAAACUCCCUUGAUAACAGUGGUAAAAUGGUCAUUGUUGUAACUUUAAUUAAUAAUUCUUAUUUUCACUAAUAAGAAUGUUAAAAUAUGUCUUGAAAUCUCAUGUUAAAAGUUUUUUUUCUUUUCGGUUUGAUUAUUGUCCCCAUGCGCUGGGCGAAGCUGUUUGCUGUUUUCAUCAUGUUGCUAUUUUGUUGCUUGGAUGAGGCGAUAUAGCUAAAUGAGUCAUAGGUGUGCGUCAAGAUCUAUAGAUAAGCAAUUUUUGCAUCAGUUUUCAGGGUGAAAAUGUGUGAAUUUUAGGGUUACAAAAGAGGGAAUUUUUAGGGUUAAAAGUUGAGAGCUUUUGGAAAAAUUAUAGGAUUAGGAAACAUUUUUGUACAUCUUGGAAAUAAAGCAUCGAGUCUUUUGUCCAUCGGAAGAGAAUUGGGAAAAUUGUAACCCUUGUAUUUCUUUGUAAGAAACUCUUUGUUAGUGGUAAGCCAGAUUUGGGUCGAACUGGAUAACUUUGUUUUGGUUGUUGCUAAUAUUUCUCCACACUUCAAAGUAUUGAUGUGAGUUUUUACAAAUUCACAACAACUGGAACCCACCGUGGGAGAAAUAAGAGGUAACUUUUUCAAGUGUGCAACAUGGGUACCAACUGGGAUAUCAAUAAAUUUAUCGGAGACAACGAUUUGGGGCUGUGAAAAGUGAAGAUGAAAGAUGUGUUGAUUCAACAAAAGUUUGCAGAAGCACUGAAGGAUGAGGUUGCUCUCCCAGCUACCAUGUUACAAGCAAACAAGACCGAGAUGGUGGACAAGGCCAUGAGUGUCAUUGUCUUGUGCCACACUGAUAAAGGUUUUAGAGAAAUCGUAAAGGAGCAAUUGACGAGUCCUACAAAAUCCUUGAUGAUUUGACAACUAUUAAAGUGGAUAUUGAGGAUGAAGACACGGAUAUACUCUUAUUAUUAUGAGCAUUAGCUAGAUCCUUUGAGAACUUCAAGGAUACUAUGCUUUAUGGUAAAGAAGUCAUUGUCACUUCGAGGAAGUCCAAGAGGCACAUAACCAAGUCCAAGAACUUGAAAGUUGAUGAUAGUGGUGAAGACAUGAGUGUCUAAAGAGGAAGACGUAUAAGUUGAUGAAAUCGAGGAAGCUCAAUUGAUGGUGCAAGUUGAAGUACAAAUACUCCAAGUGUCAAACGACCGGUCACUUCAAUAAGGACAUUCCCAAGUUAGAGGACAUUAAUGAUUCCGCACAAUUUGCAUUUGCAACAUCAGUGAAUGUUUUUGAAUGUUCACGGAAAGAACCUUUAAUUUCAAAUCAAUCUAUGCAACAAGAAGCUGAUAGUGUAGUGCAGAGAAGUAUGCUUUUGAAGUAUGAUUUCCAAGACAUCCUUAAUCACUUUGUCCAAGUUCAUGUAUGAAGAAUCACCAGGUCUUGUGUCCUUCUCUGCCUUCUUCUUCUUCAACUCCACGGCCUUUUGCCUCAUCUUUUUUCCUUUCUGUCCCACCAUUAAUUCAUUCAUCAGCUUCUCCACCUCCUCUCUCUUCACAUUUGUAUCAAUUUCGAUUCCGAUCUCCAACUUAUUACAAAUAUAUCUGCAGUAUGUUGGCUGCUCAGAAAAAAAAGGCCAACAUAACAUUGGUACUCUGGCACAAAUGCUUUCCAAUGUGGAGUUCCAUCCACAAUGAGUCAAGAAUCGUCCAACUGAAGGGUGGUUCAACACUUGCUCUUGCGGACACCAGCUUGCUAUUUGGCCUCUAUCCGAAGUUCCAUUCACAAACUCGGAUGACAAAAUAACUGAGCCACCAAUGACAAGCUAAGGCCUAAUGAUCCACAAAAAAGGUUUCUUGCUGUUGGCAAAACCUCAAGAGAACUCUAACUGCUCUGGAGUCAUAACCAUAGUGCUUCCAAAAUUCACAUAAACUACAGAACCUUGUUCCUUAGAUUCAAGACAUUUCAUAUCUUCUUUCCAAAGAUUGGAACCUAAAGAAGCCAAGUGCUUUUGGGGAUUUUGAUUCAAAAACGAAGAUAAAGGGCCAAUGGCGUAAAUAGAAGGGAUCUUAAUAGAUAGAGCCUUUACUACAUCACUCUCAAGUUCAUUAUAAGUAUUGAAAACAAUAGCGUUAGCUUCAUGAACCAUAUCGUCCGCUUCAAUGAUAAAAUUUAUCAUUAGGAUCAGUAGUUCUUAUAAAAUCAAGCAGGUCCUUUAGUCUAAUGUUUCGCAAACCUGGAAUCCAGUCAACUUUAGUGACCAAAUAUCCAUUUGUCAGAUAACUCAUCUGCAUAUUAUAAUCACAAAAUCCAUUAGCUUAAAGUUAAAACUCUGAACCCCUAAUAUAUAUCAUAUUAAUUCUAAUACUACAUUCUAUGUUGUAUACAUACUCUCAGUUUCUCCAAAGGAAGAACUUCCAUAGUAAAACUAAACUAUAGUAAUGAAACUCUUCACUUCUGCAUAAUAGUCCUACACUAUCGAUAAAGAAAGAACAUAAAUGAUUACCUUUGAGGGGUAUGACACCUUUAUCAAUAAAUGUACGAAAGAGCAAAGCACACAAAAGUGAGGAUGCACUAGCAGGAAUAAUUCAAUAUCAGAAACUAAGCAACUAACAGGAGGAAUAAGAUCAUCAUUGGAAGAAUCUUUUAAGUUUAGCAAGAAGUUCACAAAAAGGGUGAUAGAAAUUCUUUCUUAUUGAAUCAUCAAGAGAGACAAUUUCUUGACUAAUAUCACCAUAACCUUCUGUCGGAGUUAAACCAUCUGGAAUAGUCUCAAAGGUAAAAUCAGUGAAACCAUCAAAGGCUUUUGGACCUCUUGAUUUGAGCAAAUGUUUGUGAUUUCGGUGUUGACAAAGGUUAUGUGAAAGCCUCUAAGGUGAAGAAGUUUUGCUAGUUUCAAUAAUGGAUUGAUAUGGCCUUGAAGUGGAUAUGGAGUUAUGCUUACUGAUAUGAGUGAGAAGCAUAAGAAAAUCAUAAAUAUAUUUGACUUUAAUAGGUCCCCCAAAUCAUUGGAAUAUAAAAGUUAGGUGCACAAUUUUUCAUCAAGAAUUUGUUUGCAGCACGCAUUGGAAGUUUGUUUAUUUUUAUUCUCAUUAAGAAUUUGUUGGCACUGCACAUGCAUAUACAAUUGUUUCUUGGUUGAAAAAUAAUAUAUUUUUCAUGGUUUAUACUAUUUCAAUUCUUUUCUUGUUGAUAGUUGAAAUGGCAAGAAUCGUUGAAAACUCGCACACAUAAGUGGAGAAGUUUGGAUUCGAAACCCCAGUUACGGAGUUGGCCUAACAAUUUUGUUCUUUAUUGUCUAUUAAGCUAGAACUUGUCGACAUUUAUUUCCUGUUUUUUAUCAGACCAUACAUGUGAAUUUGAAUUGCAUGCAAGCACAAUUUCCACGCGAUCAGAAUUAAUUCAAUCAACAGCUCGGAGUCAUUUCAUCAAAUAUUCGACGUCUCUUAUUGUAGGAUAUGUGAAUCCAUUUUAAAAGCAAACUUAAAAUUGGAGUCGUCCAAUGUUAAUCUAAUAUCUCCGAGCUGCGCUGGCUGAACAAGUGCCUAAAAUUGUGAUUGUAGACAAAGGUUGCUAGUAAAAAUACUUCCUUAUCUUAGUUUUAAACGAUUCAUUAUAUUGCAUCUAAAUAGAAAAUAGAGAAAAACAUAAAAUUUAUAGUUCUGUUAUUGAUGAAAUGAUUUCCUAAAAGAAAAAAGCUUUGAAACUAUAACCUCUACGUACCGAGAAAUAGAAUGCUCAUAUACAUAUUCCCACCAAUAUUUUUCACUUCAAAUGAAUGUAACUAAAUGUAUCGGGGUCGUUUAGGUGUCAAAUAUCAACAUGUGAAGUGUCAAUGCUACACACUUUAAAACCUUCAACCUAAGUAAGCUUACCAUGUCUAUUUUAUUUUAAAACUGAUUUCUAUUUUAGAGUAAAAUAUUUACUUAUGACUUGUAUUUAAUUAGUUAAUCCUGAUAAAACUAUAAAUCUUGUAUAGAACGAUAGAACGAUAUUAAUUUAAACCUGUACACACAGAAAAAUGAUUGGUUUGCCUUAAUUUAUCCUAUACAUGAUAAUGGAAUUCAACAUAGUGUGCAAAAGCCUUACCUACCCCAUAUAAUUAUCCAAUUCAAUACAUUUAAUAUUAGCAAGAAGCACUAUUUUAGUUUAAGAAUUCUUGCACAAGAUAUGUUCGAUACAGUCAUCAUGAACUCAUUACUUAUUCACUACAAUAGCCUCAUCCCUUAAAUUCAAUAGCAGAAGAUCAAUGGAUCAAUAUAAUACUACAUUGCAUUAAAAACGUCACUUAGGUGUGAUUUUAUUUAAGCAAAACCUCCUUAAUCACUUUUUCCAAGUUCAUGUAUGAACAACCACCAGGUCUCGUGUCCUCCUCCGCCUUCUUCUUCAUCUCCAUUAUAUUUUUCCUCAUCUUCUUUCCUUUAUCUCCCACCAUCAAUUCAUUGACCAAAUUCUCCACCUCAUUUCUCUUCACAUUAGUAUCGAUUUCGAUUCCAAUCUCCCAUGUAUUGCAGAUAUAUCUACAGUUUGCUGGCUGAUCAGCAAAAAAUGGCUAACACAACAUUGGAACUCCAGUAGAUAUGCUUUCGGUCGUUGAGUUCCAUCCACAGUGAGUCAAGAAACCACCAAUUGAAGGAUGGUUCAAUACUUUCUCUUGCGAGCACCAACCAGCAAUUAGGCCUCUAUCUGAAAUUUCAUUCACAAACUCCGAUGACAAAACAACUGAGCCACCAAUGACAAGAUCGGGCCUAAUGAUCCACAAAAAGAGUUGCUUGCUAUUUGCUAAACCCCAUGCAAACUCUAACAGUUUUUCUGAAGUCAUAACUGUCCUGCUCCCAAAAUUCACAUAAACAACGGACCUCGGUUCCUUUGAUUCAAGCCAAUCAAGACACUUGUUAUCUUCUUUCCAAAGAUUGGUACUUAAACUUGCCAAGUGAUUCUGUGGACUUUGACUUAAAAGUGAAGAUAAAGGGCCAAUAGCAUAAACAUUAGGGAACGUCGAAGAGAUAACUUUCAUUACAUCCUUCUCAAGUUCAUUAGAAGUAUUAAAAAUAAAAGCAGAGGCUCUGUGAGCCCUUCCUGCUGCUUCAAUGAUAAAUUCUACCAUCGAAUCAUUUGGAUCAGUAAUCUGUAUAAAGGCAGGCAAAUCCCUCAGUCGAAAGUUCUUCAGUCCUGGCAUACAGUCCACUUUAGUGUCCAAAUAUCCGUUUGUCAGAUAACUCUCAUCUGCAUAUCAAAUUUACAAAAGUUGUUAGUGUGAAAUUGAAUCUCCAUACUCCAAAUAUAUGUCAUAUGAACACUUUAACUACUCUACACAUAUGAAGAAAGAAAGAAGAUUAAUUGUUACCUUUUAGUGGUAUGAGACCUUUAUCUAGAAAUGUACGUAAAUGAAUACCAGUCAGAAAUGUACAUGCAUUGGAUGGACUAAAGACAACAUUAGGGAUUGAAAGUUCUUCAGCAGCUUGUAUAGUAAAGGACAUGCUAAUAUCAGAAACUAUGCAACUAACUGGACGGACAAGACCAGAUGUUGCAGAGUCAUUAAGUCUAGCAAGAAGUUCGCGGAAAGGUUGUAGAAAAUUCUUCCUGAUUGAUUUACAAAGAGCGUAAAUGUCUUGACUAACAUCGCCAUCGCCAUCCGUUGGAGAUAAACCAUCUGGAAUACUCUCAAAGUUAAAAUUGGUGAAACCAUCAAAGGCAUUUUGACCUCUUGACUUGAGCAACCGUUUGUGAUUGUAUUCAGUGUUUACAUAGGUUAUGUGAAAACCUCUAAGGUGAAGAAAUUUUGCUAGUUGCAACAAUGGAUUGAUAUGGCCUUGAACUGGAUAUGGGAUUAACACAGCAUGUGGUUUUUUAUCACUCAUUAUUGAGUUUUUGUGUUUGAAUGUUGAGCUAAGGAAACCAAUGUUUUAAUAAAGAUAAAUCCAAUGUUUCUUGGAUUUGUGGAAAAGAAGAUAGAGACAAAAGACAAGGAAAGCAAAAUCAAAUUUAAAGGGUGAGAUCUUUUUCUUAUAAUAUGAAAUAAUUCUAAGUGACACAAUAAUUGAUGCAUACUAGUCAAGUCACCACUUUUUGUUACGUGAGAGAAGGAAAACAAUUUUUCAUUAAAAAGUUUAUAGCACAAACUUAAGAAUGCCUUUAGUAUGCGGUGGUCAGAAUUGAUUUAAAUAAAUUUGUUUGUUAAAAUUAGUUUUUGUUAAAAAGGGCGUUGGAUAUAAAAUUAUUUAUACUUAUAUAUAUUUACGUAAAUUUGAGUUGAGCAAAAAAUUAAAGACUUAAAAUCAAAGACUAAAAAUUGAAGACUUAUCUAACUUAAAUACUAUUAGUUAGACAUCGUUUGGGAUUUAUUUUGGAAUUGAUAGAAUAAUAAAGUUGAGAAACACUGUAUAUUGUGAUCCUAAGAUCACUAAUAUAACCAACCUUGCAUCUAAUCAUAACUAACUUUUUUUUAUAAGCAAUAAUCAUAACUAACUUAUAACUAUCUUAAACAAUACUAAACUAAUUUCAACAAAUAUGAAACUAUAUCUAACACAUACUUGCAUGGAAUUGCAACCAUUCAGUAGAAAGAUAUUAUCAAACAAAAUCUUCAUAUGCUUGUGGACCAACUCUAUACGUUUCAGUUUCAAAAUUGAACUAGAAGACACUUCUAUUCAAGUAUAAGAUAUAUAGUUCUGACAUCAAAGAUUUUUGUUGUACAAAGAAAAUAAUUAUGACCACUUAUUUAUUUUAUAAUAGUCUAUUGGCUAUUAUUUUCCAUGCUUGAAUCAGUCAGACAUUGGACAUCACAAAAAUAUUUGUCCCUUUCAACAAGAGCUCAAGAUUAUCUACAAAGUCUCAAUUCCAUAAAAGCCAAAUUCAUUUUUAUAUGUUGUCCCUUUACACAUGAAUUAUAAUCCUUUAUCACGCUACAACGUAUCAGCUCAAUGGUAAGAGUUUGAGCUUGUAAUCUCAAAGGACAAAGUUUAAAUUCCCUUAAUAACAAUGGUAAAAUGCUCAUUGUUGUAACUUUAAUUAAUAAACACUUAUUUUGACUAAUAGGAAUGUUAAAAUAUGUCUUGAAAUCUCAUGUUGAAAGUUUUUUUACUUUACUAUUGCCCCCAUGCGCUAGGCGCAGUUGUUUGUUGUUUUUAGCAUGUUUCUAUUUUGUAGCUUGCAUGAGGCGAAGGGUAUAGCUGAUUUAGCAGGUGUGCGUCAUGAUCUAUAUUAGUUAGGGGACAUUGAUGAUUCCACACAAUUGGCAUUUGCAAACAUCAAUGAAUGUUUUUGAAUGUUUAAAUAAGAAAGAACCUUUGAAUUCAAAUGCUUUCAAAUCAAUCUAUGCAACCAGAAGCUGACAAUGUAGUGCAGAGAAAUUUUAUAAAAGAUCAAAAGAAGAAUAUAAAUAUAAUAUUAAUAUGAUUUUCAACUAUUGUCUUACUUUGAUUCAGGUGAAUUCAAUCAAUCAAAAUUUGAAGGGGAAAAAUAAAGGUAUGUGAUCUUUAUUUAUGAAGAAUGAACUUGAUGAACAAGAAUGCAUCAUUACAAUGUUUCUGACUAAAUUGUUGAUGUUCAUACUUAAGAACAUAGGAAGACCUAAAAUAUGAAUUAUUUGUUCCUAACAAAACUAUAUAUAUUGUAUAAAAGUGACUUAAGCUUGAUUUUGUUUAAGCAACACCUCCUUAAUCACUUUCUCCAAGUUUGUGUAUGAACAACCUCCAGGUCUCGUGUCCACCUCCACCUUCUUCUUCAGCUCAAUGGCUUUUUGCCUCAUCUUCUUUCCUUUAUCUCCGGACAUCAAUUCAUUGACCAGUUUCUCCACCUCCUCCCUCUUUACAUUAGUAUCGAUUUCCUUUCCAAUCUCCCAUUCAUUGCAAAUAUAUCUGCAGUUUGCUGGCUGAUCCGAAAAAAAUGGCCAACAUAACAUUGGAACUCCAGCACAUAUGCUUUCAGUGGUUGAGUUCCAUCCGCAAUGAGUCAAGAAUCCACCGACUGAAAGGUGGUUCAAUACUUUCUCUUGUGGACACCAACUUGCUAUUAGUCCUCUAUCUGAAAUUUCUUUCAAAAAAUCAGAUGAGAAAACCACCGAGCCACCAAUGACAAGAUCAGGCCUAAUGAUCCACAAAAAGGGUUUUUUGCUGUUGGCCAAACCCCAAGCAAACUCUACGAGCUUCUCUCGAGACAUAACAGUGAUGCUGCCAAAAUUUACAUAAACAACAGAUCUUGGUUCUUUUGAUUCAAUCCAUUCAAGACAUUUAGUAUCUUCUUUCCAAAGAUUAGAGUCUAAAGAUGUCAAGUCAUUUUGUGGACUUUGAUUUACAAAAGAAGCUAAUGGACCAAUUGUGUAUAGAGAAGGGAACAUAGAAUAGAAAGCAUUCAUAACAUCACUCUCAAGUUCAUUAGAAGUAUUGAAUACCAUACCAGAAGCUCUAUGACAUUUAUCUGCCACUUCAGUAUUAAAUCUUAUCGUCAAGUCAUUAGGAUUUUUUGUCUUUAUUAACCUAGGAAGAUCCUUCAAUCUGAAGUUUUUCAAACCUGGGAUCCAGUCAAUUUUUGUGUCCAAAUAUUCAUUUGUUAGAUCACUCUCAUCUGCAUGUCAUAAUUGCAAAAAUCAAUAGCAAGUCAUAUGUAUAAAUAUAUAUAUCAAGGUUUAAAAUCACAUUUGCAAUAAUAAUUUUGGUUGUGUUAUCCUACUGAUAUUGCAUAUAAUCCCAAUCAAAUGUGGUUGAUGCAACCUCAAUUGCGAUUAUAGAGAUAUCGCAACCUUGAUGUUCGGCCCAUAUUGUGACCGCAAACCUUUUUUAAAAACCAUAACAUACACACACAGAUCUCUUAAGAAGAAAAAGGGAACAAAAAUGAUUACCUUUGAAUGGUACUUGACUAUUCAGAUACAUUUUAGGACUGAGCAAACAAGACAAGAAAUAACAUGCACUACAUGGGGAAAAAAGAACAAUUGGGAGGGCAUGUUCUUCAGCAGCAUCUACUGUAAAUGGCAUGUAGCAAUCAGAAACUAAGCAAGUGACUGGGGGGAUAAGACCAGCAGUGGCAGAGUCUUGAAGUUUAGCAAGAAGUUCAUCAAAGAAGUGGCGAAAGUUCGUUAUGAUUGAUUCACCAAGAGAGUGUAGGUCUUGACUUACAUCACCAUUACCAUCCUUUGGAGUUAAACCAUCUGGUAUAGUCUCAAAGUUAAAGUCAGUGAAACCAUCAAAGGCAUUUUCACCUCUUGAUUUGAGCAAACGUUUGUGAUUGUAUUCAGUGUUAACAAAGGUUAUGUGAAAGCCUCUAAGGUGAAGCAGUUUUGCUAUUUUCAACAAUGCAUUGAUAUGGCCUUGAACUGGAAAUGGAGUUAACACUGCAUGUGGCUUUUUCUCUUCAAAGUUACUCAUGAUUGAUAUUUUUCUUAUGUAAGAAAACUAAGAAAAAACUGAGGUGAAAAAUCUAUGAGGCCUCUAUAUAUAACAAUGAGUGAAUUUUGUUACGUAUCUAUUAUCUAUUGUAUAAUAUAAAAAAAUUCUUAAGAAUGGAAAAAACCAUUUUUCUUUUUGAAUAAUUCAAUUACUGUCUAAUUCAUUUUUAUCUAAUUUUUAGUAAAUUGAAAAUCGGAUUUUCUAAUUAAGAUAAUCCAUAUUUGAUAAUUUUUUCUAUACAUCAAACUUUCUUUAUAAACUCUUCCCCUUAAAUAUAUUAAGAGAAGGCCAUAUUUGACAAUAUAUCUUCUAAACCAAUAAAAAUCAAAUUGCAAAUUCUAUGGUACAGCCAAUAUAUUUGAAUGUACCGGUACACUUACUCUUUAAAUUAAUGGUUAAAUGAGUUGUUUUUUGAAGAAAAAUAUUAUUUUCUAUCCUUUAUAUUUAUAAUAACUAAAUCUUAUUCAUCAAAAGUGUUAACGAAAUAAAAUUAAUUUUUUUUGAAUUUUUAGCACUCAUAGUUGAGAAUAUUGAUUAUAUUUUACGAUAAUAUGCAAAAAAAUUACUAUAAUUCUUAUAAAUAAUGAACUGAUGUUUUUUCUUAUGAAAUGAUGUUCUAUAAAAUAUAAAUAUUGAUAAAUAGUUAUUUAUUUCACAAAAAAUAAUCGUUAAUUUAUAAAAUUAUGAAAAAAGAGUACCGGUACACCUCAUUUUGUGAGUCUACAAUAGAAGUUCCCCAAAUCAAAUACAGUCAAAAUAUACUUUAAGUAAAAAAAAUAAAAAUCAAAUAUACUUAAUACAAUAAAAAUCCAAUUUGGACUUGACAAAGAAAAAAAUCCAACAUGUGCAACAAAUUGACGUGGUGAACGAAAGCAACGUCUGCAUGUUGAAAGGAGACCACUUUCUGUGGUGGGGACUGAUUUUAUAUACAGACAAUGGUGUUCAGACGGGAACAGACUUGCCAGUCUAUUCUUUUAAUAGUGUUAAUUAAGGGUGUUUUGGUGCAUUUUUAAUCGAUUUUGAGGUUAAAAGUUAUCCAAAUCGUAAAAUAAAAGAGCAUCAUGUUUGAUUUAAUUGACUUUUAAAAUAAAACUUGAACCAAAUCAAUAUGGGUUGAAUUAUAUUGGUUCGUGUGGUUUUUUCGAGACUAUAAUUUUUUAUUUUUAACAUUAAAAUCGAGUUAAAAACUUAUAACACAACAUAUUUCCAAUAAUGUUUCCGACAAUGUUUUCAAUUUCAUCCAACAUGACAAUUUUAUUUUCACCAAAUAAUAAUAUAGACGAAAUUUAAAAUGUGGACAAAAAGUAAUCCUAUUAAAGAAAUGUAAAAUACUAAGAUUUAUCAUUCUAUAAAAUUUUAUUUUAUAAAAGUUUCCAUUUUUGAAAUAAAAAGUAAAGAAGAAAAUUAACAAGAGAAAAUAAUAUGUCGUUUUAUAAAAGUUUUCAUUGAAUUUCUAUGAGUAUUGGUCUACCUGAAUUAGGUUUAAUUAGCGUUUUUCUUAUGUUGCGGUUUAGUUUGGUUAAUAAAAUAAAAACUGCAAACCGAACCAAACCUUGCGGUUAAGUAAAAAAGUGAUCCGAAUUCAUCCAAACCAAAUGCAUUUUUUGCGGUUUUAGUUUGAGUUGGUUCGGUUUGCAGUUUUUCUACUGGAUUGGUCAGUUUUGAACACCACUAUUUUUUUUGUCUAGUAGCCUAGUGUCUGGAGCUCACACAAUUAAAUUUGAAGAAGUGGGGUAUCUGGGGUUCAAACCCCGACCCUGUAUAAAUUGUGCAAUGUUCUUAUCAAUUGAGCUAAGCUCACGGGGACGUUUCGAACACCUCUAGUGCUAAUGCAUAUAAAUUAUGAAUAUUUAGUAGUUUUUAUGAAAUUUUAAUUUUGAUUAAAAUUAUAGAUAUAGAUAUUUUGUUCUUUAUAUUCUAACAAAUUAUACUUAUUUUUUUUAAAUAACACUAACAAUAUAGCAAAUAUAAUAUAAAUUCUUAUCUUUUUAUUUAUAUUUUUAUUUUUAUAAGCCUUAUUUCAUAAGCCGUUUUCAGCAAAUUUUCAAAAAUGUUUUCAAAAUCAUUUAUGAAAACAUCUUAUAUAUGAAAACAAUUUAACAUAAAUUUAUCUUUUGCUGUAGAAAUAGUUUAUGCAUAAGUGCUCAUCAUAAUUAAUAAGAACUUGCGCUAUAAAUUAUUUAUCCAAACAUGGCCUCUAUUCAUUACUAUUCAACUUAUGAAGCGUGUAAGAAUUAUACUCCCCGAUGUCCAAAAAGGAACUGAAAGGUGAGCAUUUCUUAAUUCAUUGAUUUAGAAUUAUUAAGUUAUGUUUACAAUUUUUCAUGGUUCAUAUUUUUUUUCAGUUUUCAGUAGGACGCCUAUCUUACUUUUUAAUGAUUUAUUCUAUUGAAUUUAUAGAGAAAAGGAGGGAAACUGAAAAGUUAUAAAUCUGUUAUUGAUCAAAUGACUCCCUAAAACUAGUUCUGCAGUAUACCAAUCUUAUAUAUCAUUAAAAGCUUACUAGGGUUUUUUAUACAAGAAAAUGUUAAUGCUUAGUAUAUUAUGUAAGUAACCUGAAUUGGAAUCUUAGACCUCAUGUUAAGCAGUGGUUUAGAGUUUUUUUUUAUAUAAGAAAAUGUUAAUUGUAGUGAGUUAUGUUAGUAACCAGACUUGUUAGUUAUUGAUUUGAAUUCUGUUACAACUCAGACACUUAAGCUACCCCUUGAGGAUAAAAUUAUGCAAGAGUUACUUACAACAAAUAACUGUAGUAACCAUCGAUUUCAGAACUGGAUCCGCUGAUUGAACCAGGAAUCGGCCAGUCUAUACCGGUUGUUCAACCAUGGUCGGUUAUAAGUCUGUCAGAACCUCAUUCAACCAUGGUUUAUUCAACCGAAUCAUUGUUUUUUCGAAUGUUCAUACAUAUUUCGGGAAAUAUUCUUUAAUUCCUGGAUAUGAAAGACAACCAAAAUCUCAUAUUAGUUUUAUUCAUGGUCCUAUGUUAAAACCUGUUCUAUAAAGUAGCUGAUCUUAUGUACGCCUGAUAUAUUUGAAGUUUGAUCCUUCUGUUUGCAUAGGCUGUUCUUUGAUGAUAUUGAAAAUGAAUAGUAUAAUUGCAUAGUAGUACUCAACAUAAGUGAAUGUCUUUUAUUGUUAUAGGAUAGAACCUUUCAAAUCAAUCUCCGAAGCAAGAAGCUUACAAGCAAUGAGAAGUUUAUGAAUAUAAUAUUAAUGUGAUCUUUAGUUACGAAGAAUGAACUUGAUGAAGUUGAAUGCAUUGUUACGAUGUUCCUGACUAAAAUGUUGAUAUCCACACUUAAGAACAUAGGUAGACAUAAAAUGCAAAUUAUUUGGUCCGAACAAAACUAUAAAAAUCGUACAAAAGUCACUUAAGUUCGAUUUUGUUUGAGUAACACCUCCUUAAUCACUUUCUCCAAGUUCAUGUAUGAACAGCCUCCAGGUCUCGUGUCCUCCUCCACCUUCUUCUUCAACUCAAUUGCCUUUUGCCUCAUCUUCUUUGCUUUCUCUCCCACCAUCAAUUCAUUAACCAGCUUCUCCACCUCCUCUCUCUUCACAUUAGUGUCGAUUUCAAUUCCAAUUUUCCAUGUAUUGCAUAAAUAUCUGCAGCUUACUGGGUGAUCAGCGAAAAAUGGCCAACACAACAUUGGAACUCCAGCAGAUAUGCUUUCAGUGAUUGAGUUCCAUCCGCAAUGAGUCAAGAAUCCACCAAUUGAAGGGUGGUUCAGUACUUGCUCUUGCGGACACCAGCUCGUUAUUAGGCCUCUAUCUGAAAUUUCAUUCACAAACUCCGAUGACAAAACAGCUGAGCCGCCGAUGACAAGAUCGGGCCUAAUGAUCCACAAAAAGGGUUGCUUGCUAUUUGCUAAACCCCAUGCAAACUCUAACAGUUUUUCUGCAGUCAUAACUGUCAAGCUCCCAAAAUUCACAUAAACAACAGACCUAGGUUCCUUGGAUUCAAGCCAAUAAAGACACUUGGUAUCUUCUUUCCAAAAAUUGGUGCUUAAAGAUGUCAAAUGGUUUUCUGGACUUUGAUUUAAAAACGAAGAUAAAGGGCCAAUAGCAUGAAUACAAGGGAACACAGUGGAGAGAGCAUUCAUUACAUCCUUCUCAAGUUCAUUAGAAGUGUUUAAAAUAUAAGCAGAGGGUCGGUGAGCCCUUCCAGACGCUUCAAGGAUAAAUUCUACCAUGGAAUCAUUUGGAUAUUUUGCUCUUACAAAGUCCGGAAGAUCCUUGAUUCGGAAGUUUUUCAUGUUGGAAAUUUAGGUCUUAAUAUAAACAGAUUUCAUAAUACAUGUUCAACAACUAUGAAUCAAUAGCGGAAGCAAACAAAACAUUGAACAUGAUUAUGAUCGGAUCUACGACAUGUUUGAUUUACCAAGGAUAUUAAGAAUUAGGGUAUUAGGAAUACCUGGAUAAAGCUUUUGUAACAACCCUCUCAUCAACAACGAUAACCAAAGAGAGGAGAUGAUCUGAAACACGCAAUAGAGUUAGCGGCGGCUGAUUUGGUUCUUCCUCAACCGGUACCUUUAUGCCUCAAGUUCUCUUCAGAUGGGGAGAAGAGAGAGUAUUGCCGUGUACGGUGUAUUGGGGACCAUAGCCUCUUUUAUAUUGGAUGGCCAUUAGGGUUUCCCAUUAUUCCAUUAAUGGGUCAUCCGGACAUCCACUCAUGUUGAGUCCAUAUCAACUAAUUAAAUAAUUAAUUAUCCAAAAUAGAAAUCUAAUUAGCCUUAUUACUUAAUUUGAUCACUAAUCAAUUAAGGCUCACAAUUGAUAAAUAGCUAAUAUAAUUAUUAUUACGAUAUUUGCCCACAUAAUGAUAUUGGAAUAUUAUUAAUUAAUAAAAUAUUCCAACAUUUCAGUCCUGGAAUACAAUCUACUUUAGUGUCCAAAUAUCCGUUUGUGAGAUAACUGUCAUCUGUACAUCAAAUUACAAAAUCUGUUAACUUGAAAUGUCAUAUUAAUACUUUAACUACACUACAUCUAUGAAGAAAGAAAGAAGAUUAAUUGAUUGUUACCUUUUAGUGGUAUGACACCUUUGUCAAACAGUGUAGGUAAGUGAAAACAAGUCAAAAACAUACAUGCACUGGCUGGACUAAAGAAAACAACAGGGAUUGAAAGUUCUUCAGCAGCUUGUAUUGUAAAAUACAUGCUAUUAUCAGAAACUAUGCAAGUAACUGGAGGGACAAGACCAGAAGUGGCAGAGUCAUUAAGUCUAGCAAGAAGUUCACAAAAAGGUUGUAGGAAGUUCUUUCUGAUUGAUUCACAUAGAGCAUAUAUGUCUUGAUUAACAUCACUAUCGCCUUCUAUCGGAGUUAAACCAUCUGGAAUAGUCUCAAAGGUAAAAUCGGUGAAACCAUCAAACGCUUUUGGACCUCUUGAUUUGAGCAAGCGUUUGUGAUUGUAUUCGGUGUUGACAAAGGUUAUGUGAAAGCCUCUAAGGUGAAGAAGCUUUGCUAGUGUUAUUAAUGGAGUGAUAUGUCCUUGAAGUGGAUAUGGAAUCAACACUGCAUGUGGCUUUUUAUCAGAAAAAUGACUCAUUUCUGAGUUUUCUUGUAUUAUAGUAUGUGUAUGACUUGAGGUUUAGAGAUAAAGGGAUUAGCCAGUGCCAACAAUACACCUACCUAACAACUCUAAUCAUAAUGCCAAAAAACAUGUCAUGUGACAGCGUUUAAAUUAGUCUGUAGCUGAAUAAAAAUUUGGUGAUGAAUAAUGGCAAUCAUUAGGCUGUGACCAAUAAUGUUGGAGGACUUAAUGAUAAGUAAUCUAAGUCAAAUAAUUGCAUGGUUUUGUAACCAAUAUAUGUGAACAAUAAAAGAUAUUUAAACUGUCUCAUUAUUGUAAGGGAAAUAUAUUACAGACUCUAAUUUGAACUACACAAUAUUCUAUCCGUCGCAUAAAAAGUGUUUUAUUUAGAAUGUGUACGAUUCUUAUGAAAAUAAUUAGCUGUGUUGAUUUUAAUGGUAAAAUUAAUAUCAUUUACUAAAAUAUUCAUAUUAAUUUAUAUCAUUUACUACUAAGACUUUGUUUGCGAGUUGGAUUUUGGAGGGGAGGGGAAGGGAAGGAAAGGCUCAUGGCUCAUGGAGUGGUAAAUCCUUGUUUGCGAGUUUUAAAAAAACAAGGGAAAGGUUUUGGGGGGUUUUGAAGGGCUUUAUUUGUCCAAUUUUAAAGUUCCCCCAAAUUGGGGGGUUUUGGGGGGUUAAACAUACAAAUUGACAAUUUUGCCCUCUUAAUAAUUCAAAAUUCUAAUUUUAGACAUUACUAAAAUUAUUACAAUCUUUUUUAAAAACAACUUAUUCAAAACAACUUAUUUAUACAAAACAGCUUAUUACGACCUCAUUUUCAAAAACGGCUUAUUCAAAACAGCUUAUUACGACCUCAUUUUCAAAGACCACUUAUUCAAAACAACUUAUUUAUAAAAAACAGCUUAUUACGACCUCAUUUUCAAAAACCGCUUAUUCAAAACAACUUAUUUAUGCAAAACAGCUUAUUACGACCUCAUUUUCAAAAACAUCUUAUUUAUGCAAAACAGCUUAAUACGACCUCUUUUUCAAAAACAGCUUACUCAAAACAGCUUAUUUAUGCAAAACAGCAUUAUACGAUCUCUUUUUCAAAAACAGCUUAUUACGACCUCAUUUUCAAAAAUCGCUUAUUCAAAACAACUUAUUUAUACAAAACAGCUUAAUAUGACUUCAUUUUAAAAAACAGCUUAUUCAAAACACCUUAUUUAUGCAAAACAGCUUAAUACGAUCUCUUUUUCAAAAAAAAGCUUACUCAAAGCAGCUUAUUUAUACAAAACAGCUUAAUACAAUCUAUUUUUCAAAAACAACUUUUUCAAAACAGCUUAUUUAUCCAAAACAGCUUAUUAUCACCUCUUUUCAAAAAAACAGUUUAUUUGUGCAAAACACCUUAUUUCGACCUCUUUUCAAAAAAUAGCUUAUUCAAAACAACUUAUUUUUACAAAACAGUUUGGAUAAAUAAGUUGUUUUGAAUAAGUUUUUUUUAAAAAAGAGAUCGUAUUAUGCUAUUUUGCAUAAAUAAGUUGUUUUGAAUAAGCUGUUUUUGAAAAAGAGAUCGUAUUAAGUUGUUUGGUAUAAAUAAGCUGUUUUGAAAUAGCUGUUUUUAUAAAAGAGAUUGUAUUAAGCUGUUUCGCAUAAUAAGUUGUUUUGAAUAAGCUGUUUCUGAAAAUGAGGUCAUAUUAAGCUGUUUUGUAUAAAUAAGUUGUUUUGAAUAAGUGAUUUUUGAAAAUGAGGUCAUAAUAAGCUGUUUUAUAUAAAUAAGUUGUUUUGAAUAAGCUGUUUUUGUAAAAGAGAUUGUAUUAAGCUGCUUUGUAUAAUAAGUUGUUUUGAAUAAGCUAUUUUUGAAAAUGAGGUCAUAUUAUGUUGUUUUGUAUAAAUAAGUUGUUUUGAAUAAGCGAUUUUUGAAAAUGAGGUCAUAAUAAGUUGUUUUGUAUAAAUAAGUUGUUUAAAUGAGGUCGUAAUAAGUUGUUUUGUAUAAAUAAGUUGUUUUGAAUAAGCGGUUUUUGAAAAUGAGGUCGUAAUAAGCUGUUUUGUAUAAAUAAGCUAUUUUGAAUAAGCUAUUUUUGAAAAAGAGAUUGUAUUAAGCUGUUUUGCAUAAAUAAGCUGUUUUGAAUAAGUUGUUUUUGAAAAAGAGAUUGUAAUAAGUUGUUUUGUAUAAAUAAGCUGUUUUGAACAAGUUGUUUUUUUGAAAAGAGGUCGUAAUAAGCUGUUUUGUAUACAUAAAUUGUUUUGGAUAAGUUGUUUUUGAAAAGAGAUUGUAUUAAGCUGUUUUGAAUAAGCUGUUUUUCUGAAAAGAGGCCAUAAUAAGUUGUUUUGUAUAAAUAAGCUAUUUUGAAUAAGUUGUUUUUUAAAAAAAGAUCGUAAUAAUUUGUUUUUCAUAAGAUAAGCUAUUUUUUAAAAAGAGGUCGUAAUAAGUUGUUUUGUAUAAGUAAGUUGUUUUUAAAAAGUGAUUGUAAUAAGUUUUUUUUUUUUUUUAUAAAUAAGUUGUUUUUUAAAAAUAGAUUUUAAUAAUUUGUUUUUCAUGCGAUAAGUUGCUUUGAAUAAAUUUGAAGUUAAAUUACGAAGUAUAACAAUGUAUUGAUUUUAAGAGGAAAAAUGGUAAAAUAGUAAAAUUAUACUAUAAGCCCUCCAUCUCCUUUUCUUUAUUGACUUUUUAACUCCCAAACAAGAGGAAGGUUUUCCCUCCUUUCUCCCUUCCCUCCCUUUCCUUCCCUUCCUCUCCUUAGCCUUUCCUUUCCUUCCCCUCAAAACUCGCAAACAAAGCCUAAAAUGUAUUUUGAGAGUUCGCUUCGUAAAAUAUUUUUUGUUUAAUAGUGAGUUGAACAAAAAUUAAUUUAUGUUUAGAUAUAUUUAUUAGCGCAUCUUGCAACGUUUCUCUUUUGUUGUAAUCUAAUUAUGAGUGAUAAGAUAAUUAACUCGAUGAGAGUUAAGAGAAGAAAAUAUAUGUUGCAAUCUGAUCUCAUUAUUAAUGGAAAAAAAUUUACUACAACUUAUUUAUAUGGAAAUUACUUGCUAGUCAAGCAAAACAUACUCAACUUACCUAGCUGUAUUUUGUAGUUCAGAUAUUGAUGAAAAAGCUAAACUAUGGAAAUUACAACAACUUAAAAUUUACUACAACUUAUUUAUAUGGAAAUUACUUGUGAAUUUACAUAAAAUUAAGACUAAAAAUUAAUUAUUCUAUUGCAUCUAGAUAGAAAAUAGAGAGAGAAAAAAAAUUAAAAUUUUAGUUCUGUUAUUGAUCAAAAAGCUAAACUAUAACUAUAUUAACUAUAACAUCUAGAUAAGAGAAAUAGGAUGCUCAUAUACAUAUUCUCACCAAUAUUCUUCACUAGUAGAAUAUGUAAAGAGAACAAAAAUAUCAUAUUAGUUUCAGUCAUGUUCCAGUCACACCAACAUGGACACUAGACAUGACACGACUCGACACUGACAAUGAAAUUUUGAUGCCUGCAAUAAUUUGAGAAAAUAGAAUAAAUGUAUUUAAAUGUGUUGGAGUCGUUUAGGUGUCAAAUAUCAACAUGUUUCGGACACUAAACACUCAUCGAAGUGUCAAUGUUGCACCCUUUAAAACCUUACACCUAAGUAAGCUUACCAUUUCUAUUUUUUUAUAUUAAAACUGAUUCCAAUGUUAAAGUAAAACAUUAACUUAUGGCUUGUAUUUAAUUUAGUUAUUCCUAACAAAACUAUAAAUCUUGUUUAACAUAGAAGGAUAUUAAUUUAAACCUGAACACACAGCAAAGUGAUUGUUUGCUUUAAUUUAUCCUUCAUAUGAUAAUGGAAUUCAAGAUACUGUGGAAAAAGCCUCACUACCCCAACUUCAAAAUUUCAAAGCUGUAAAAUUCAACGAAUAAAAAUUUAAAUACAUAUGCCAUAGAAUUAUCCAAUUCAAUCCAUUAGUUUAAGAAUUCUUGCACAAGAUAUGUUCAAUUCCAUCAUCAUGAACUCUUAAUUUAUUAGCAUCAAUAUAUUUGUUAUACAAUACAAUAGCAUCAUCCCUUAAAUUCAGUAGGAGAAUAUCAAUGGAUCAAUAUAAUACUACAUUGCAUAAAAAAUUCACUUAUAGGUUUGAUUUUAUUUAAGCAAAACCUCCUUAAUCACUUUUUCCAAGUUUAUGUAUGAACAACCUCCAGGUCUCGUGUCCUCCUCCGCCUUCUUCUUCAACUCGAUUGCCUUUUGCCUCAUCUUCUUUCCAUUCUCUCCCACCAUCAAUUCAUUGACCAACUUCUCCACCUCCUCUCUCUUCACAUUGGUGUCAACUUCCAUCCCAAUCUCCCAUUCAUUGCAAAUAAUUCUACAGUUUGUUGGCUGAUCAGCAAUGAAUGGCCAACACAACAUUGGCACUCCAGCACAUAUGCUUUCAGUGGUUGAGUUCCAUCCACAGUGAGUCAAGAAUCCACCAAUUGAAGGGUGGUUCAAUACUUGCUCUUGCGGGCACCAACCCGCGAUUAGGCCUCUAUCUGAAAUUUCAUUCUUAAACUCAGAUGACAAAACCAAGGAACCACCAAUGACAAGAUCAGGUCUAAUGAUCCAUAAAAAAUGUUGCUUGCUAUUGGCCAAACCCCAAGCAAACUCUAAUAGUUUUUCUGUAGUCAUAACUGUUGUGCUCCCAAAAUUCACAUAAACAACGGACCUCGGUUCCUUUGAUUCAAGCCAAUCAAGACACUUGGUAUCCUCUUUCCAAAGAUUUGUACUUAAAGAUGCUAAGUGGUUUUGUGGACUUUGAUUUAAAAAUGAUGAUAAAGGGCCAAUGGCAUAAAUAGAAGGGAACUUAGUGGAGAGAACAUUUAUUACAUCCUUCUCAAGUUCAUCAGAAGUAUUAAAAAUAAAAGCAGAGUCUUUGUGAGCCGUUCCUGCGCCUUCAAUGAUAAAUUCUAUGAUCGAAUCAUUUGGAUCAGUAAUCCUUAUAAAGUCAGGCAAAUCCUUUAGUCGAAAGUUCUCCAAUCCUGGAAUACAGUCCACUUUAGUGUCCAAAUAUCCGUUUGUCAGAUAACUCUUAUCUGCAUAUAUCAAAUUUAUAAAAGUUGUUAGCUUGAAAUUGAAUCUUCAUACUCCAAAUAUAUGUCAUAUGAACACGCUAACUAUUCUACAUAUAUGAAGAAAGAAAGAAGAUUAAUUGUUACCCUUUAGUGGUAUGAGACCUUUAUCCAACAAUGUACUAAAAUGAAUACAAGUCAAAAACAUACAUGCACUGGCUGGAUUAAAGAAAACAAGUGGGAGUGAAAGUUCUUCAGCAGCUUGUAUAGUAAAGGACAUGGUAAUAUCAGAAACUAUACAAGUGACUGGAGGGAUAAGACCAGAUGUUGCAGAGUCAUUAAGUCUAGCAAGAAGUUCGCGGAAAGGUUGUAGGAAGUUCUUUCUGAUUGAUUUACAAAGAGCGUAAAUGUCUUGACUAACAUCACCAUCACCAUCCGUUGGAGUUAAACCAUCUGGAAUAGUCUCAAAGCUAAAAUCAGUUAAAUCAUCAAAGGCAUUUGGAGCUCUUGACUUAAGCAACCGUUUGUGAUUGUAUUCAGUGUUUACAAAGGUUAUGUGAAAUCCUCGAAGGUGAAGAAGUUUAGCUAGUUUCAACAAUGGAUUGAUAUGGCCUUGAACUGGAGAUGGGAUUAACACAGCAUGAGGUUUUGAAUCACUCAUUUCUGAGUUUGUGUUUGAAUUUUGAGCAAAGGGAAGCCAAUGGUUUAAUAGAGAUAAAGUGACCACUUUUUGUUAUAAAAGGAAAUCAAUUUUUCAUUAAAAAGUUUAUAGCACAAACUUAAGUAUGUAUUUGUUUGCGGUGACGAGAAUUGAUUUGAAUGAAUUUGUUUAACAAAAUUAGUGUUUGGUUAAAGUGCGUUGAAUGUGAUAUAUAUUUAUAUAAAUUUACGUAAAAUUGAUUUGAAAAAUAAAUUGAAGACUUAAAUUCGAUUAUAAAAAUAAAAUUUUGAUACCUUAGCUUUAAAUAACGAGCGGCUUAAAGGCAAAAUCAAUUCCAUUUAAGAACACACAACCAUAGGGUCUGACUAGGCUUAUCUAAGUUAAAUACUGUUAGUUAGAUGUCGUUCGAGAUUUAUUUUGGAAUUGAUAGAAUAAAAAAGUUGAGAAACACUUUAUAUUGUGAUCCUAAGAUUACUAAUAUAACCAAAUUCCAUCUAAUCACAAUUUUUUUUUACAAGCAAUAAUCAUAACUAACUUAUAAAUAUCUUUAAAAAUAUUAUAUUAAUUUAUCAAACAAUAUCAUUAUUUGCUAGGGUGGAAAUAAAUGUGGUCAAAUUAAUGUACCUAGCCAGUGUUAAAAGCAAUACACCUACAUUUCAGGUUUUUUCUAGAUUACCCUCUCUUAUUUAGAGGAUAUUUUACCCUCUCAUGAUAUCAACCAAUUAAAAUGUAAUAUAUAUUGGCAACAUUAAAUGUCAUAAAUGAGUCAAUUUUUUUUUCUAAAAAAAGAAUCAAUUAUAAUCAUAAGGUAACUUUUAAUACUUUUAAUUUUUAUUUAAUUAUAGACAUGAUUACAUUAGAGAUCCUUUAUCUUAUUUAUUUGUUACACUUGGGUCCUUUAUCUUUAUUUAUUUUCACUCAGGUCUUUUAUCUCUUAUAAAAGCACAUAUACACCAUUUUUCUCAUUUUUUUUAUUAAAAAAAAUACAUAAUUUUAUUUUUUAAAAUAUCUUUUUAUUAAAAAUGAAACAAAUCCAGAAAUAUGAUGAAGAUGUUCAUCAUCUUCAUCUUCUUCCAUUGAAUAUUCAUCAUCUUCAUUGAAUCAAAAAAAUUUCUACACAAAUAUAUCUCCAAAUAUCAUGAAUUAAUGUUAUAUUCACCUCAAAUCUUCCUUUAAACACAAAAAUCAAACCCCUAUAGAGAAAGAGAUUUAGUUUCAUCACCAAAAAAGAAAAAUUAGUUAUAUAAAUUGUCACGCUGUAUAUUAUUAUUAUUAUUAUUAUUAUUAUUAUUAUUUUCUAACUCAAUAUUCAAGCCCGAUAUAAAAAUAAUCCCAAAAUUGAUAGCAACUUUACACAUCAAUUUUGUUGUUUUCAGAGCAAUCUUAACUUUCGUAAAGCCUAACCCUUCCGUCAGUGACUAAGCCUCCACCAUCCGCCUUGCAACAUUUGUGAAAUUAAGGUUUUGAUUUUUGUGUUUAAAAUAAGAUAUGAGGUGAAUAUAACAUUAAUUCACGAUAUUUGGAGAUAUAUUUUAGUAGAUUUUUUUUUAUUUAAAGAAGAUGAUGAAGAUUCAAAGGAAGAACAUGAAGAUGAUGAACAUCUUCAUCAUAGUUUUGGAUUUUUUUUUUCAGUUUUAAUAAAAAUAUAUUUUUAAAAAUAAAAUUAUGUAUUUUUUAAUAAAAAAAUGCGAAAAAAGAUGUAUAUGUGCUUUUAAGAGAGAUAAAGGACCUAAACGGGAAAAAAUAAAGACAAAGGACCAAAGUGUUACAAAUAAAUAAGAUAAAUGACCCAUAAUGUAAUAUUGCCUUAAUUAUAUUUAGGUGUUCAAUCUUAAUUAAUUUACACUACAAGAUUGGCUUAGAACAAUAAAAAUUUCACAUCAAAUUUCUUUAAUCUGAAUGUUCUUAAAUUUAUCAAUUAUAUUUAUAAAAUUUAUUCCUCCCAUUUUGAUUGUUCAAUUUUGUCGUUCCCAACUGCCACAUUUUUCAAUUUUCGUGAGAAUCGUCAUGAUUUCAAAUAUCGUGAGAAUUGCCGUUAUUUCCAGUACAACGUCAGGUAUGAUGACUUGAUUUUUCUUGGUUGUGAGGUAGUUAAUUAAAACAAUCGAGUAAAUCAUCCGUUGUACUUUGAGGGCUGCUAGCAGGUGUUGCCGCUGUGAUGUUGUGGGAGUUUGCUAGCAUUUUUUUGGUUGUUGCUGAAAUGAUUAUGUGAUGAGGCUUUUGUUCUUUUAUUUGGACUUAAAGGCUUUUGCUGAUAGUGAGACAGGUCUAUGCGUGUUAACAGAUUUUAUUAGGUUGACUGCUUAAAUAAAAAAAAAAAGUCACGAUACCUGACGCGGUUCUAAAAACAACGACAAUUCUCACGAUAAUUGGAAAUUGCGGCAAUUUGAAACGACAAAAUUGAACAAUCAAAAUGGGAAGAAGAAUGAAAAAGAAACAAAAAUUGAUCAAUAUGGAAGAAUAAAGAAGAAGAAAUUUGAAAGAAGGAGAUGUUUUUGUUCUCACGUUCGAGGUUCUGGAAUGGAAGAAAUUUUAUGAAUGUAAAUGAUGAAUUUAAGGACAUCCAGAAGAAAGAAAUUUGAUGUAAAAUUUUAUUUGUUAUAAGUCUUGUAGUGUAAAUUAAUUAAGAUUGAACACCUUAAUAUAAAAAAAAAUUAAAUCAUUUGUUGUUUAAAAAAAAUAUUAAAAGUAUUAAAAGUUACCUUAUGAUUAAGAUUAACUCUCCUUCAAAAAAAAAAUUAAGAUUAACUCUUUUAUUUUUAAAAAAAAUCUAUUUAUUUAUUUGACAUUUAAUGUUACCUAUGUAUAUUACAUUUGGAUUGAUUGAUAUCAUGAGAGGAUAAAUUACCCUCUAAAUAAGAGAGGGUAACGUAGACUUCACCUACAUUUCAACUCUAGUCAUAAUGCCAACAAAACAUGUCAUAUCACAGCAUUUAAAUUAGUCUGAAGCAGAUGAAAAAUUUGGUGAUGAAUAAUGGCAAUCAUUAGGCUAUGUUACAACUGGUCAUAUAACAAUAUAAGAUGUUGGAGGACUUGAUCUAAAGUAAUCUAAGUCAAAUAAUUGCAUGGUUUUGUAACCAAUAUGUGACCAAUAAAAGAUAGUUAAACUUUCUCAUUAUUGUAAGGGAAAUCUAUUACAGACUCUAAUUUGAACUACACAAUAUUCCGCUCCUCGCAUAAAAAGUGUUCUAUUUGGAUUAUGUUCUAUUUUUAAAAAAUAAAGGGAAAUGUUAACGAGUCUUUUUUGGGGAAUUCUUUAACGACUAUAAGUAAUAAGUAUUUAUAAAAAAAUUUGUAAUUAAUGCAUUGGAAAUUAAAACGUUUGAUUUUUUUUUAAAAGUAAUUGCUUAUUUUAGAAUGUUUAAGGAGUAUUCCGAAGGCGCUCGUUAACACAAAACCCAUAAAUAAAUUAAUUGUGUUGAUUUCAAUAGUAAAAUUAAUAUCGUUUACUAAAAUAUUCAUAUUAAUUAAUAUGAUUUUACUACUAAAAUACGCUUAGUUUGUGUUUUUUCUUAGUUUGUGUUUAAAUGUUGAGAUAAAGUCAAAGUUUCUAGAUUUAUGGAUAAGAAAAUAGAGGAAAAAGGCAAGGGAGACUAACUUAAAGUCCCAACUUAGUAUGACCCUUUUGAUAAUGAUACGUAAGAUAAAAAUAACAAUUUCUUAAUCAAAAGUUGGUAGCACAAACAUAAGCGUGCCUUUGGUUUCAUGUAGUGAGAAUUGAUUUGAGAAUUCGAUCACUUCAUAAAAUUAUUUUUGUUUUAAAGUAAGUUGAACAUAAAAUAAUUUAUGUUUAUAUUUUUUUUUUAGCGCAUUUUGUAAUUUUUCUAGUUUGUUCAGUAAUCUAAUUAUGAGUGAUAAGAUAAUUAACUCAUGAGAGUUAAUAGAAGAAAGUAUAUCACCACAACAUAAUGGAUAUCUAUCCUUCAAAUAAAAAAUAUAAUUAACAUUUAGUAACAUUUGAAAAUUAUUACUAAAUCAAGAAAAAUGUUACCGAUUAAAAUCAAUAACCUUUGUACAAUUGUUAGGUAUAGUCUGUAUUACUAAAUACAUUAAUAAUGGCAUAAUACACUUUAUAUAGUGAUCAAGGUUGCUAAUUUCCUCAACAAAAAAAAUAAAGGGUCACUAAUAUUAGCAACCGACAACUAAUCAUAACUAACUUAUAGCUAUCUUAAUCUUUCAAAAAAACUUAUAACUAUCCUAAAAAAUAUGAAACUAAUUCUAACAAAUAUCAAACUAUCUAAGAAAUUAUCAAACAAUAUCUUCAUAUGAUUGUUGACUGACCAAAACAAAAAAGAUUCAAUUUCCUAUUUGAACUAGAAGACAAUCGUAUAAGAUGUUUCUCAUGACAAACAAAAAGAUUCUAUAAUUGUACAGAAAAGAUCCAAAACAAGUAUGACUAUUUUUUUCUUUUAUCAGAGUCUAUUGGCUAUUAUUGGCCAUGCCUUAAUCAGUCCAAAUUUUCACAUCAUGAAAAUAUUAAAUAUUUGAAUUUGCACAAGACAAUAUCUCUCCCUUGUCUUUUAACGAGGGUUGUAAAACUGUUUUAUACAUGCAUCCAAUCAAGCCAUGUCAUAAUGGCAAUUGUUUAGGUUACUUCCUCAAAUAUCUCAAAAUAUAAUAAACAUGGGGUGAUCUGAUAAGAUUCAACGCGUAAAAAAGCUUUACACCGUCAGUUUUCAGCAAUUAAUCUCUGCAAAGUAUUUCUGCCUACAAGAUUUGAUAGGAUUCUACAUAUGAUUUUUAUUUUGUUUUGAAAAAAUGGAUCGGAUCCUUCACAUGAACAUGAUAAUGAAAUUCAAGAUACCGUGAAAGAAUUCUUAUUCCCUCUACUUUACAUAUUAAAAUGGUAGGAUUCAUAUUAUAAAGUUAAUAUACAUGCCAUAUAAUUAUCCAAUAUGCAUAUAUUCAAAACAUUCAGUUUAGGAACUCUUGCUGAAGAUGAGUUCACUUACAUCAUCACUUAAAUUCAAUAGGGGAAGAUCAAUCAAUUAUUGUUGAACUGCUUUGCAUAAAAAAUUACUUAAAUUUGAUUUUAUUUAAGCAACACCUCCUUGAUCAAUUUGUCCAAGUUCAUAUAUGAACAACCUCCAGGUCUCGUGUUCUCCUCUGCCUUCUUCUUCAACUCGAUUGCCUUUUUCCUCAUCUUCUUUCCUUUCUCUCCCACCAUCAAUUCAUUGAUAAGUUUCUCCACCUCCUCUCUCUUUACAUUCGUAUCAAUUUCCAUCCCAAUCUCCCAUUCAUUGUAAAUAAGUCUACAGUUUGUUGGCUGAUCACUAAAGAAUGGCCAACACAACAUUGGAAUUCCAGCACAUAUACUUUCAGUGGUUGAGUUCCAUCCACAAUGAGUCAAGAAUCCACCAAUUGAAGGGUGGUUUAAUACU
rnacentral:lncRNA from 1 species